UCCUCAGCAAGUGCAAGGAUCAAACUCUGCUUUGAAGGUGGCUUCACUUUACUCUUAACCAAAAUACCACUGAGAAAUGAAGCCUGAAUACAAAAUACUGAACAGCUGCAGAUACUUAACAAAAAUAUUAAUGAGCACUGGGGAAGACCAGACCCAGUGAAACCCAUUUGGAAGACAUUAGAAACUGGCAACCUUUCAGUCUUCCUGGGUUGCAACUUCUCUUAAUAUCUUGGAAAGACCCAUGACCAUUUUUGCUUGCACAAGGAAUUCAUCUACUCCCAUAGCACAGUGUAUGUGGGGCAGAACUUGUGUCUUUCUAAAGCAUAGCAGGUAAUUAAUAGCAUUAACUAUUGGUACCUUUUUUGUACUUAAGGCUAUCAAAUUGUCUUCUCUUUAUUUGGUAUUACUAGUGCUGCUAGUAACAAAGUACUUUUAGUACGGAGCCUUUCAAAAACCAGGAUGAUACUGAUACAUGUUUAUCUUUAGUGUUCUACAAGAACAAAAUGCAAACCUAAAAGUGAAUGUGUUUUGUCUUGCAGUCCCCUGUCAGGACACUUAGAAGCAUAAAAGGAAGCUGUUCAGCGAUUGUUCAGACCAACAGCUUUAAUCUGUCAUGGGCUGCAUCUUGUUGCCAACAGGUAAAGUAUCAAAUUCACUCAUGUUUUAAUAGUGAGAUGCCUGAAUUUUUUUCCUGGCACUCUGACUCCAAUCAGGAAAAUAUAUAACUUCAUGGUUACCAGCUUUUGGGCUCACCCAUGAAAAGCAGAAGUGAAAUUUCAUUAACAAGAGUUCUAGUGUUUUGCUAGAACACGAUUCUUUUUCCCCUUGAAAUUGAAACAUUCUUAUUAUAAGCAACCCUAAUGAUCAAAACCUGGAGAUUAAAUGAAGCCAUUCCUCUUGGCUUCAAGUUUUCUCAGGUAUUCCUCAGUUUCAUAGCUCAUCUAAGGACUAAAGAGUCCAUAGUCCCUCUGGAUGACACUCCAAAUGUGAAAGUAUUGCAUGAAAAGCAAAAUUAGUGAGAGGGAACAAAAGCGUAGAGGAGAGGGCCCAAACCUUAAUCAUGUAUGAUGAAAGAAUUAAUUAAAGGCUAAUGCUUCUAACUAUAGUUUGCAACAUUCAUCUUGACUUUUAAUGUAUAAAUACACACUUUUAUCCAGUAACAGUUUGCUUACCUGUCGUAAUUCUGACAAUCCUUUGAGAAUUGCUUGUUGUCUCUCUCUAACUGCAUCAGGAUUUAGAAGAGGAUAUCUCACAUGAUCAGAGCUAAGAAUCUGCCUUGGCAUUUGGCAAGAAUCUGAAAGUAAAUAUAGAUCAAAUCAGUUAACAAUACUAUCGUUUUUUGUUUAAUACUGAAGCAGUAGAUUGUCACGGCUUGUGAAAAUGAGGUUUUGGUUGCUCUCGGGUUACAAACACAUAGAUUGCUAAACGCAAAUCAAUACGCAAUACCUGAGAAAUGCAGCUGCACCUCAUUAAAGGAUUCAUGAGGAACCCAGCCCUGCUCCAUAUCAAACCUGUGAACAUUCACACUGAAGACUACAAAUCGGUGUUUAAAUGCCUUAGUAAAUUUAGUCCCACAUGGCUUGUGACCAUGACUCGCUCAACACUGUAUUUCAGACUGCAUGAUUUGACUCUGUAACUGGUUUUAGACAAGGGGGUGUGUUGGAAUCACCUUGUCUUAUAAGAUGGAAUCUGCUACUGUUCCAAAUAUGAAGCAAACCAUAAUAGCUGCUACUGUGCCAAAAGGAUGAAUAAAGCAUCAGACAAGGCUUUUAACCUUCUACUAAGGUAAGAAUGUAUAGAAAUGCAAAAUCUGCACUUAGAACUUUUGGUUUAACUUUUAUAGGAAAGGAGUAUGUAAAGCUCAGCAAUAGUUAAAGGACAAAGCUCUG